UCAGGUGCUCAGAGCCCCGUCCAGCCUGACCUUGGGUGUCUCCAUGGUUGGGGCACCCACCGCCUUUUUGGGCAACCUGUGCCAGUGCCUCACCACCCUUAGUGUGAACAGCUUCUUCCUUACAUCUAGUCUAAACCUCCCCUCCUUUAGUUUGAAACCAUUUCCUCUUGUCCUAUUCAGACAGCAGCCCUGCUAACAGUGCAUCAUGCCAGGAGGGAUGUUCUCUUGAGGCAGAGAACUGCAGGUCCUCAAUGCACAGGAGCAGGUUGAUAUAAAGGAGCAGGAGAAGAGCAGUGGGGAUGAAGAGUAUUUCUGCAGACUGAGAUUUUUUGGGUGCAAGGUGGAAGAAAUUGGGCAUUAGAGCUGUUGCCUGAAAACAGAGUUUUUGAAAAGCCAUCAAGAACAGGAGGUGCUGGCACAAAAAACACACAGGUUACUGGCAAGUUAAGCUGCAGGAGCUGAAAGUAAAGCUGUGAAAGUCCACAGAGGAGAAAGCUAAACUGAUGGUGUAGUGGAAAUGCGGAGUCAUGGCCUGAAGCAGUGAUUGAGCACCUGGUGGGAAGGCAGGGCCAACCCAGGGAGCUCAGGUGCAUGCAAUGUACCUGAGUGAUGGAAGGGGAGGAGCCAGGAUGCACCCCUUCCCAGACCUCAUUUAAGGGUUGGCAGUGGAGGCAAGAGCAUCUCUUGGGAUUCCUGUCUACCUGAUGCUUUCCUGAGGCUGGAGAUUUCCAGAAAGGACUGAGCUAUGCUGGGCAACAAGCAAUGAAUCAGAGGCAGAACAAAACAUGACAUCUCCAUCAGAGGGAAGAAAGGAAGACUCUAUGAAACACCCCAUUGCUCCAGCCCUUUGUUGUCUGCUGACUUCACUUCCCCAGUCUGGCUCAGGAGUGGGGAAAGCCCGAUGACAGCAUGCAGAUACAGAUCACCAUCCUCCUUGUGCCUCACUGUAUGCAGCAAUGUGCCAAAGCCCCCACGUGCCAGAGUGCAGCAAUUGCAGCUAGUGAGCCACGGGAGACACGCCAAGGCAGAGCUGGCCUGGUUUUGGGCUGGGACAGCCAAUGGAAGGUUCAAUAGAUAGCAGCUGCUAUUUACCUGCUGCUCUGCACCCGGCCUGCACAGCAGAUCGGACAUGCAGAGAGCCAGCUGGAAGUCAAUACUACUGCUAUAUGCCAACUAAACUGUUGCUUUCUUAGGAAUCAGUGUGCAUUCAAGUGUGAGCCCCUUUCCUCAGAGCCACACCAAGGGAGGCAAGGACCAGUGCAGCCAUACAGUGUCCUCACUCACCUACUCACCCCUGCCUGCUGUACACAGAUGUGUGCGUGGCACUUACAUGACAGCCCUGUGGCUGGCAGGCACUGAGUGGUCAGUACAAUUGUCCAACAAGAACUAAAUCUGUGCUAAGUGCCUCCUUGCAAGCGCUAACAAUAACCCAGAGCCACCACUUGUAAAGCACUCAUGUUGUUUCUGUGCUUCUCAUUUAGCUGCACUGCAAUAAACUGGUGCUUCUGUUCAUGAAUCCCAUCCAGCUUGCCCCACACACUGCUCCUCCUUUAGAGAUGGCUCUAGCUACUGCCUGGCUCACUAAGGUUUAGUAGACCUCACAAGCAAGAUGGUGGUUAUUUAACGCUACAGAGGCCCACUGCCUUCUUUCACAGCCUACAAGAGGCAUUCCACACCAGCAGCAGUUCAUUCUCAUUGCCUAGAGCUGCAUACAACAAAGCUACAAA